GACGGAGGAUGCAAGUGUUAUCCGGAAUCACUGGGCGUAAAGCGUCUGUAGGUGGUUUAAAAAGUCUACUGUUAAAAAUUGAAGCUUAACUUCAAAGAUGCCGUAGAAACUUUUAAACUUGAGGAUGGUAGGGGUAGAGGGAAUUUCCAGUGGAGCGGUGAAAUGCGUAGAGAUCGGAAAGAACACCAACGGCGAAAGCACUCUGCUGGGCCGACACUGACACUGAGAGACGAAAGCUAGGGGAGCGAAUGGG
rnacentral:rRNA from 1 species